rnacentral:lncRNA from 1 species
CAUAGUUUGACUUUAAAUUUUCAUUCUAUUUUUAAAUCUAACUUAAAUUUUUGAUUUGCAUUUUAUAGAUGAUAUCAAGCAUAAAAAAUAGACUUGGCAUUUGUGUAUCUCUGAAACCACAUAUCUGUAUUAAUAGAAAAAUUUUUUAUUUUGUAGAUGAUAUAUUAGUUAAACAGUCUGCUGCUUCAGUAGAGAAUUCCAUUGGAGAAGAAAUUUUAAGUGAUUUUCCCAAAAAAAGGAAGAGAAUGUUUAAAACGACCUUUCCGACCAAAGACUAAUAUUACACAUCUACAUACUACCCGAAUAUAGUAUCGUAUAAAUAAUAAGCAUCCACACCUGGAGGAGGAAUCCAAUAAAAACACAUUUUAAUGGUCAUUUAUCAUCAAAACAUGUAUGGGAUACCAGUCUGCACCAUAAACUUGGAAACCUAUUUUGUGUUCCGCCGAUAUUUUAUCACCGCACUUUGGUGCCAAGAAUUUUUUUGUAUGGUGACAGUGGGAUACUAUUUUCACGGUCC